GCUAUUUUCCCGACUUCGAAAUUCUUCACAGCUGGGAGUCCCAAUACCGGGUGCACAAAGCUUCCUAGAACACACCGGCCGGCCUUCACCGGAGGGAGUCAACGGUUCUGUCUCAGGCCGGUGAGGGAAGGACGGCGCGCCCAGGCAGGUUUUCGGGGCGCCGCUCCAGAAGCGGGGCAGGCGAGGCCUCCUUUUUCUCGAAGCCGCUUCCCGGCACUACACGGCCCCCUCACCACAGGCAGAGCGCGGGAUAGGCUCAGGGCAGGAGACUGACGUGGCGGGACGCUGGAUUCCCAUCCCUCCCCCGGCCCCCAGGCCCCACGUGGGCCCCCGCGCGCGCAGCCACCCACGCCCCGCGCGCCCUCCAGCCGCGCGCACCGCCCGCCCGCGGCAUGCGCACAGGCCGCAGCCCUGCCCCCCUUCCCCCCUCCCCCGGCCCGCGCCCUUGCGCGGAAUCGGCAGGAUUCCCCAUCACUGGCCGACGGCGUUCAGGCCCACUGACCCUCUGGCCGCCUCGUCCGCCCAGCCUCCGCGACACGCACCUCACCGCCUACCUCCCGAAAGCGUCGCCCGCUCUGGCCUCGCACCGGAAACCCUGGGUAACCGCUGCUGGCCGAGCCGCCUGCUCCUGCCGCAGCCAAUCAAUAGCCGACGCUCUCGCGGGGCUUGCUGGGAAAGAUGAAGCGAAGGCGGCCUCUGAGGCGGGACAGUCCUACCUAGAAGAUGUUGCUACUGGUUAUGAGUACUUCCUAUGGUUCAGUGCACUGAGCCUCGCACCUUUCCCCAGCCUGCCAGGGAGGCCUCCAGCCAGCCCAUCCUCCCUACGGCUCCCUGCCUUCAACUGAAAAUCCACAAUCUGAGCUCACAGAUGAAUCUACUGAAGAAUCCAAGACGAUGGAUACCAAGCUGAGUGAGUCUCAAGGAGAAGAGGAGGGAAGUAGUUAGGCGUUCAUCUCCUUCCCUUUUAGUUUGCUAGAAACAAGUAGCUCUAGGGUGUAGAGGGAAACAGGUAGACAUGAGAACAUGGAAAUCCAGUUCAUUCUGCCGUCUAGUGUGACUUGAGAGAAAUAGAAAAGUGUGCCUGAGAGCCUUCUUUCACUCUUCCUUGACCAAGUACAGUAGCAGCUAUAAUCUGUGAAGUUCAGCUCCAAAAAACAGGGCUCCUAGAAAGUGGCUUCCAGGGCAAAGAGUAGAAGAAGUAGAUCUAAGGGUCCUAGGUAAGGGGGGGGAAGAGCAAGCGUCCCCGAAAGCUGAGGUCAUCAAUGCCUGCUCCUCAGAGGGGUCAUUUGUCCGCACUGCCCCAAGUAACCAGGCUGGCCAGCUACAAGUGGAAUCCAUGCAGCUCUACCAGAUGGCGGCAGCCAAGGCCAGGCAGUCACCUGGGGACAGCUCAGAAUUGAAGGCAGACUUGUAAGACCAGAGACUUGGUUAGUACUACAGAAGAUGUUGGGGGUGGGAUAACCAGAGGGGCUGGCAAUAAAGAAUAGGCUGGUACUGUCCCAACAGUCUUUGAACACUUCAGCUAAGAGAAAGGCUCCUUUUCCCCUAAUCCACACCUAGAUACCUCCACCUCCAGCAGGGAUCUUACAAUGGAUACACCAGCUAUGUGCCAGCACAUGAAGAUUCCAAAAACAUGUCUUUUCAGGCUAUUCCAUACAAUAGGCUGCGGAGCCUACAUCACCCCUACAACAUCCAUUCAGAGAUCUACUGGAAAGCAGCCUUUGACCUCACUGAGGCCAGGGUCUGAAGUCUAGAUGGGGGCUGCCCAUUAAGAGUGGCUGUCAAGGCUGGGCUACAGAAAUAAUGUUUUGCUUUCCAAGAGGACCAAAGGAGAGGAGGAGACACUGAAGAUGAUGUUACUGCCCCUGUGGGCUGGAAGAACCUCACCUGCUGGCUGAAAGAGGGGUAGAAGGAAAUAACGGGAAAAUAUGGUCUGAGGAAGACGCCAAAGGAAAGCUCCUAGAGGCCACCUUAUCUGAUGAGAAAUCUGUCCUCAUGUUGCACCCUGGGAGACUUCAGCCUUUCAAGUCCUUGGAGAAAACUGGCUCCCAGCAGCAGCCAGACGAUCAAAAAAGAGUCUUCCAUCUGGUAUAGGCCCCAGAUCUGAAGUGCAAGAUUUUAGAGGAGUAGUUGGGAAAAGCAGGGUGUGUAUGUCUCUCAAUAAAAAUCUGGCCCCAAUGACAGGGACUCAACUAUUGCUUGAGAUGUACAAAAUAGGUCCUACUAAAGUGCUUUGCCCUUUGGAUAAGGACAGGGGGCGGGUGGGGGGAGCAGGUGGCUUUUCUAACUGUAGGGGAAAAGUUUUGUAAUGGAGUCAGUGGGCCAAGUGACAGAGGUCCAGCCCCUUGCCUCCUUGUGGGCUGGUAGUUGUCAUUCAUUCCUAAGCUGAAGAAUAGCAUCUGACAUACAAGGUCAGGGUACUAAGGUCUGACAUACUAAGGUGGCACAGCACUGGUGUGACUUUUUGGUGAUAACUGCAAGCCCCGCACCACCUUCUUCAGCAAAUGGUUCUGGAGUUGGAUCUCAACACUAGGAGAGGGCAAAAUCAAGACCAAUGGCAGACAGUGAGCACCUGAACUUUAGAUCUGUAAGCAGAGGGGCAGGGAUUUCACCUGAGCCAGAAGGGGUGUGCAGGAAUGGGAGUAAGUGGCACUGUCUCUGGGGAAGGGCAACUACAGCUCGGCACAGGCACGUGACUGACCACAGUGGAGAAGCAGGGGCAAGGCAAACUGUGCCCACAGCUCCACAGUUGGUCUACACUUAGCCAGCAACUUUCUCCACUCCUCUCCCCAACAAUUGGGCUUUACUGUCAUGUAAUCCACCGAAGCGAAGGCAAGCCACUGAGGCAUCGCACUAGCUUUACUCAAAGAGAAAAGGCAUUAGGAUUAUAACUGUCACACGGAAGGGAAAAACCCAAACCAGGUCCAAGGAUCCCAAACAGGAAAGAUACCAGUAAGUCUCACAAAAGUCCCGAGGCUGCUAAGUUUCUAUGAUCACUGGAGAGGCAGGCAAGUGUGAUACCUUAUGUGGCCAGGGCUUUGAGACUGAAUCUGAGAAGGUAGAAUGCUUUUUGGGUUUCCUGAUAUAAGCAGGAUGCUUAGCAGUAAGGACUAGAAUGGUAGACUUCUCCAGGCCCUGGGGCCAUCCUUGCUCCCUUCGGGUACUGGGAUAAUCAGACCGGGCUGACCUGCUAAAUAAAGGUUCCAGAGCUAAGGGUUGGUCCCAGGUGGUGGCCCAGAACCUAAGUAGAGAGGAAAAGGACCAAGCUCAGGCUCCCUGAGCGAGGCAGCUUCCCCCUCUCUUUUUGGUCUUCCUCACAGUAUCCUACUUACAGAAAUUACAGACAGUUCUUCCUCUUGAGACCAAUUAAGAUUGACCUACCUAAUAUAUAGAAUAUAAAAAAAUACAGAACUUUUUGACAUUCUCUCCUUUGGAAGUAAAAUAUACAUGAUCCAACUAUGGAAGAGGAAGAGGAAGAAGAAAGGCCGAAGGCAGGGAUCCCUGGCUAUCCCAAUACAUGACACUCUCGCUCCACCUCCUCUGCAACUUAUGGGUCACCAGAGCAAGGGCUUUCUCCUCAGGAGAGAGGAGGACCAUCGCCCUGUCUCGUGCUUCGGAGAAAAUACAGCUACCUCAGAGGUUCGUUCAACUCUGAGGGAAUUUUCAAGUAAACAAAUGAAGUUGGGUCGCACCAUUGGAAGGUGGGUAGGAAACAUGGGAUCAGUAGCGACACAUGAGAAGCCCCAUCUGAAGGCCUGUGCUCCUCCCCUCCACUCCCACUGGUGUACUUGCCCCUGGAGGGAAGGAGAUCUCCCAAACUAAAGAGGUCUGGGAAGGGGUUAGAGGGAGGAAGGAGCCUUUGUCUCAUGGUGACCUCCCUCUCAGCCUCUAGUCCCAGACCAUGCUGGUAGCUGGGAUUCCUAAAACCAGGAACUCAUGGCUCUUGGAAAGAGCCGUCUUAAUACAAGAAAAAUGUGCAAAAGAAAAAAAAAUUAAAUAACUCAAUCCAAGCAUACAAGAUUAAUAUUCUGUCAGAGCAAGAACACUUUGUUUUGAAUUUCUCCCCGCCCCUCCCACCCCCCACCUCUGGAAUAUUCCAUCUGCUCAAGUACCCAAGAUAAGAGUUACACAGAUUAGGGCAGAGAACUGGGAAGGAUGAAGGAAGAUAAAAGGGNAAGGAAGAAGGAAAAAAAAAGGGAAGGAAGUCCCCCAAAAAAAAAAAAAAAAAAAAAAAAAAUUAAAAAGGUGCAAAAUUGAUUACCUCAGUCCUCCUUUGUCUACCCCUGGGCUCCUGGGUUAAAGACAUAUGUGCAGCCAAAAUAUAGUGUAAGGAAGAAAAACCCAACACGUCCCCUUCUUGUCACAAAACCCAAAUGUGAGCCUCAGAUGGUUCUGUCUGUCCAGAGGGUGCUCCCUCCAGGGAAGGGGGCGGAGCAGGUCAAAAGCACAGUUUCCAGGGCAGCAAGAGGUGCGUGGUGGCUGACGAUGGGGGGGCUGGUUUCCCGUCCACCAGAGGGCUGCUUUUCCGCUGGUUGGUGGUGCUUCCCAUCCCCU
rnacentral:lncRNA from 1 species